UCUUUCACAUCCGCCCCAUUUCUUCUCUCUCUCUCUCUCUCACCAGGCGAUAACCCUUGAUCGAUGGAUUUCACUGCCGAAUUCACUGGAUCGACGGAUUUCACCUGCAAAUCCACAUCUCAGGGUUUUUUCUCCGGCUAUGACCCUAGAUCGAUGGUUUUUUCUGUCGAAUCCACAUCUCAGGGUUUCUUUCUCCAGCGAUGACCCUUGAGCGAUGGAUUUCACCGGCGUUUUCAAAUCUCAGGGUUUCUUUCUCCGGCGAUAACCCUAGAGAUAGAUGGAUUUCACCGGCGUUUUCACAUCUCAGGUACCAUCUUAUUAACCUUAUCGGC